rnacentral:tRNA from 1 species
GCCGGGAUGGCGGAAUUGGGAGACGCGCUAGGUUCAGGAUCUAGUGCCCGAAAGGGUGUAGGGGUUCAAAUCCCCUUCCCGGCA